UACUAACUAAUCUAUUAAGACCUAGACAACCAGGUGAGGGGAUUUACUAACUAAUAUAUUAAGACCUAGACAACCAGGUGAGGGGAGUUACUAACUAAUAUAUUAAGACCUAGACAACCAGGUGAGGGGAGUUACUAACUAAUCAAUAACCUUAAUUGAUCGAUCACGUACAAAGGUGAAGUGAACCUGAAGACACUCGGCCCUCUGUGGAAUUGAGUUUGAGACCACCGUUAGAUCAACUGGCAGACCCGUAACUACCUAAAUGAGGGAAACAAAAGCAGGUGCUUCCACACAGGUGUGGCUCCCUGAAUUAAUUAAGCAAUUAACAUCUCAUGCUUGGCGUCAUGUAUAAAAAAAAUGCUGUGCGGCCUGUUACCAUGGCUAUGCCCCCCCCCCCAAGGAUGACAAUGUCCCAAUCCACAGGGUACGAGUGGGCACUGAUUGAUUCGAUGAGCGCGAAAACAAUGUAAACCAGAUCUCAACCUCAAUUGAUCACUUUACGUGAGGUUCUGGACCGUCACCUGAGACGGUGCUUCUCCACCACCAUCAACAUAACACCAAAUGAUGGAAUUUUCUCGUGGAAGAAUUGGUGUCACAUCCCUCCUGUAGAGUUCCAGACACUAGAAUCUAUGCCAAGUUGCAUUGAAGCUGUUCUGGUGGCCUUAAUUAAGGCACUUUGUAGGUAUUUCCUUUUAUUUGGACAGUUACCUGUAAGUGAGGGGGGGGGGGUGCUGUAUGGGUACCGUAGAGAGAACAAUUGAUAUAGUCUAUGAUAGACCAGACAGUACCGUGUGUUAUUUAGAGUUACAGCAACCACUAUAAAGAGAAUACUGUGUCUUACAGACCUGCCAACAACACGUUUUCGAAACCCUCUCGGCUUAGCUACUACUUCUUAAAGAUGAAACUUGGGCAACAUUUUAUCUCUACCUAUUACUACUUACUCUUAAGAUGGCUGCCUCUUAGUAGGGUUAAAAGAAAGAUGUGCUUUUAAAAGACUGGUUGACCCUUUUCCCGUUUCUGAUUGAAGCAGAGCUAUGUGGCGACGUACUGCUCUGGCCAGGUUUGGUAUCCAACAUAGUUGUUUGGAACCGUGCUGCAAAUAUCUAAGCCAGCACAGUUUGGUUCGGGCCCUAUAGUGUGAAAAGCGUAUUUAAUCUGACUGGUGUUUUAUAUAUAUACUGGUGUUUUAUAUAUAUAUAUAACACCAGUCAGAUUAAAUACACUUUUCACACAUAUAUAUAUAUAUAUAUAUUUAUAUUGAAUUCUGCUGCUCCUGAGUUGAAGCUCUGCUAGACUCGAGCCCUAACUCUACGCUGGGUUUGUUGUCCUUGAAGAAAAGAGGAUAAAGACAAGAAAAUGCAAGUGUAUUUUAUAUUUUGUUUUUAUGUUCUUACAGUGUUAACACUAAGACAAGGAUGAUAUGUUUGGAAAUGAACAUUAUGCUUUUAUUGUGAAAUCAAUCGUUUCUUUAUUUUUUAUUUUUUUUAUUUCUAAAAAAACAAAAACAAAUGUUUUUUCAUUAUUCCAUUGUUUGUUAUCCCCAUGUCAUGAAGAACAGUUUCCAUGUCUGUGAUUUCAGAUGACAAGAUAGUGUAUUGUGUGAAAGCAUAGCCCCCCUCUAUUGCAGGUGAAUUGUUAUGUACUUUCCUGUAGUAGCACCUCCUGACCUAAAGGGGUGCUGUGGUACAGGUCCUGUAUGCUAGAACGUUCUCGCAGUAUUCAGGUAAAAACCAAAUUACUACUUUAUGUGAUCGACUGGGGGUUUCGAACCAAUUCAGGCCAAUGCCAGAUAAGUUGGUCCAUCUUUAGCCCAGCGGGCCUGACUAAAUUGGGGGUCAUUGCGGAGAAUGAUUGUUAUUUUGCUCAUAAUGGGAAGCAUCAGGCAACAACAACAAAAAAUAUGCCACUGCAGCUGCUUCAAUGAAAGAAAAAUUGUUUUUAAAAAAUGGGCCAGUGUGUUAGAAAUGCCAGGGCUGAUUUAUUUUCCCAGUCUGCCCCUGAAGGGCAGGGUAAAGGUUCAGACAUAGCUACACUUCCCUCCAUGUCUCCUGUCCCCAGUAAAUAAAACCUUCAAUAUAGCUCUUUCAAAAUAAGAUAGAUUGAUACAACACCAUUCAAUCUCCAAUAGUUAUCUUCUGAAUUACUAUUUUGCCCAUUUCAGAAUUUAGUGCCUUUUUUGGACAGUAGACUUCUGUAAUUUAAAUGUUUUUGUACAGUUUCUUUGAUGGAUUUUAUUUUAUACUUGUGUUUAUUUUUAGUAUGAUAUAUAUAUAUAUAUAUAUACAUAUACACACACACACACAUGAGAAUAAAGCUAUAUCAAUGUGACAA